rnacentral:tRNA from 1 species
AGAGUAACAGCUCAGUGGUAGAGCGCACAUUCAGCGUGCAUGAGGUCCUGGGUUCAAUCCCCAGUACCUCCA